rnacentral:ncRNA from 1 species
UACCUGGUUGAUCCUGCCAGUAGUCAUAUGCUUGUCUCAAAGAUUAAGCCAUGCAAGUCUAAGUACGAGCUCUCGUACAGUGAAACUGCGAAUGGCUCAUUAAAUCAGUUAUGGUUCAUUUGAUCGUACAGUUUACUUGGAUAACUGUGGUAAUUCUAGAGCUAAUACAUGCGAGAAGCGCCGACCUCGCGGGAGGCGUGCAUUUAUCAGACCAAAAACCGGCCGCGUCUUCGGGCGCGUUCGCCUUGGUGACUCUGGAUAACUUUGCGGAUCGCACGGUCUAGCACCGGCGACGGAUCAUUCAAGUGUCUGCCCUAUCAACUUUCGUCGGUACGGUAUUUGCCUACCGAGGUUCUUACGGGUGACGGGGAAUCAGGGUUCGAUUCCGGAGAGGGAGCCUGAGAAACGGCUACCACAUCCAAGGAAGGCAGCAGGCGCGCAAAUUACCCAUUCCCGACGCGGGGAGGUAGUGACGAAAAAUAACAAUGCAGGACUCGUUCGAGGCCCUGUAAUUGGAAUGAGUACACUUUAAAAGCUUUAACGAGUAUCCAUUGGAGGGCAAGUCUGGUGCCAGCAGCCGCGGUAAUUCCAGCUCCAAAAGUAUAUAUUUAAGUUGUUGCGGAUAAAAAGCUCGUAGUUGGAUUUUGGGCGCAGGCGGCCGGUCCGUCGCAAGGCGUGUACUGGACGUCCUGGCCUUCCC